rnacentral:rRNA from 1 species
GGUUAAGCGACUAAGCGUACACGGUGGAUGCCCUGGCAGUCAGAGGCGAUGAAGGACGUGCUAAUCUGCGAAAAGCGCCGGCGAGGUGAUAUGAACCCUUGACCCGGCGAUGUCCGAAUGGGGAAACCCAGUGUGUUUCGACACACUAUCGUUAACUGAAUACAUAGGUUAACGAGGCGAACCGGGGGAACUGAAACAUCUAAGUACCCCGAGGAAAAGAAAUCAACCGAGAUUCCCCCAGUAGCGGCGAGCGAACGGGGAGCAGCCCGGAGUCUGAAUCAGCUUGUGUGUUAGUGGAACGGUCUGGAAAGUCCGACGGUACAGGGUGAUAGUCCCGUACACGAAAAUGCACAGGUUGUGAACUCGAAGAGUAGGGCGGGACACGUGGUAUCCUGUCUGAAUAUGGGGGGACCAUCCUCCAAGGCUAAAUACUCCUGACUGACCGAUAGUGAACCAGUACCGUGAGGGAAAGGCGAAAAGAACCCCGGCGAGGGGAGUGAAAAAGAACCUGAAACCGUGUACGUACAAGCAGUGGGAGCACCUUCGGGUGUGACUGCGUACCUUUUGUAUAAUGGGUCAGCGACUUAUAUUCUGUAGCAAGGUUAACCGUAUAGGGGAGCCGAAGGGAAACCGAGUCUUAACUGGGCGUUAAGUUGCAGGGUAUAGACCCGAAACCCGGUGAUCUAGCCAUGGGCAGGUUGAAGGUUGGGUAACACUAACUGGAGGACCGAACCGACUAAUGUUGAAAAAUUAGCGGAUGACCUGUGGCUGGGGGUGAAAGGCCAAUCAAACCGGGAGAUAGCUGGUUCUCCCCGAAAGCUAUUUAGGUAGCGCCUCGUGAACUCAUCUUCGGGGGUAGAGCACUGUUUCGGCUAGGGGGCCAUCCCGGCUUACCAACCCGAUGCAAACUACGAAUACCGAAGAAUGUUAUCACGGGAGACACACGGCGGGUGCUAACGUCCGUCGUGAAGAGGGAAACAACCCAGACCGCCAGCUAAGGUCCCAAAGUCAUGGUUAAGUGGGAAACGAUGUGGGAAGGCACAGACAGCCAGGAUGUUGGC